AUCAUGGAGAGUUUGAUCCUGGCUCAGAACGAACGCUGGCGGCGCGUCUUAAGCAUGCAAGUCGAACGGCAAGAUUUGAAGCUUGCUUCAAAUCCUAGAGUGGCGGACUGGUGAGUAACACGUGGGUGACAUACCUUUCAGAUGGGGAUAGCUACUAGAAAUAGUAGAUAAUACCGAAUACGACCACAGGGGUUAGAGACCUGUGAGGAAAGGAGCUAAGGCUCCGCUGAAAGAUUGGCCCGCGGCCCAUUAGUUAGUUGGUGGGGUAAUGGCCUACCAAGGCAAUGAUGGGUAUCCGGCCUGAGAGGGUGAUCGGACACAUUGGGACUGAGAUACGGCCCAG
rnacentral:rRNA from 1 species